UACGUAGGGGGCAAGCGUUGUCCGGAAUCAUUGGGCGUAAAGCGCGUGUAGGCGGCCCGGUAAGUCCGCUGUGAAAGUCCAGGGCUCAACCCUGGGAUGCCGGUGGAUACUGUCGGGCUCGAGUCCGGAAGAGGAGUGUGGAAUUCCUAGUGUAGCGGUGAAAUGCGCAGAUAUCAGGAGGAACACCAAUGGCGAAGGCAGCACUCUGGGACGUGACUGACGCUGAGACGCGAAAGCGUGGGGAGCAAACAGG
rnacentral:rRNA from 1 species